rnacentral:lncRNA from 1 species
AACGCCUGAACAGAUGAGCCUGCUGCCUGGAGUUCUUUUGGGGGCAUAGGGGUCCCCAAAAGGGAGUUCUUGGGUUAUAAAUAUCUCUUCUCUGCAAAGGCUGCUUGCUCUCUCUCUCUCUCUCUCUCUCUCUCUCUCUCCCCCUCUCCCUCCCUCCCUCUCCCCUCUUUCCCCCUCUAUACUGAAACACCCCUGUGUCUAGGAGGGGCUUCUAGUGUAGCCAGAAGAGGCACAAUCUUGCAAGAAAAAGAAAAAAAAACUAUGGCUAGGACCCCAGCUUGUGGGACAGUGCUUCCCACAUUCAGGGUGGGUCUUUCCUCCUCCGUUUAACCUCACUGAAAACUUCACAGACACACCAUGCUUCCAUGGAGAUUCCAAAUCCAAUUAAGUUGACACUUAAGAUUAAGGAGACGAGAGCUUAACCUAUUGGUACUUCGGGGGUAAUGCUGUGCACACUUCAAAAAUAGAAUCUGGAAGCAGAUAAGGUUUCUCACUGAUCAUGAACCUUGCUCCUGUCUCCAGUAACACUCUGCAGUGUUACAGUGCCUGGCUGUUUGUGUGAAUUUGGACUCCUGGCUGCCUUCCACUCUUGUCUCCUGUGUCACAGCUGAGUGCAUCUAUGAUUUGAAUGAUGAUCACAUGAGCUACCGAGAGGACAGGCACGUGCAACAGGCACGUGCCACCAUUUUUCUAAGGAUGUUUGAAGACAGGCUGUGGAAUGUUGUCUCCCUAUUGUGGCAGCCAUUACCACCUUCAUCAGGGCAGCUGUGACUACUCUCAAGAGACCCUCAAGAUUUGACCUGCUGACCUUUUUCUCAUUGAAGGAGGGGCCGGGGAGGGUUAUUAAACCCUUAGUUGAG